AUUGAACGCUGGCGGCAGGCCUAACACAUGCAAGUCGAACGGUAACAGGAAGCAGCUUGCUGCUUCGCUGACGAGUGGCGGACGGGUGAGUAAUGUCUGGGAAGCUGCCUGAUGGAGGGGGAUAACUACUGGAAACGGUAGCUAAUACCGCAUAAUGUCGCAAGACCAAAGAGGGGGACCUUCGGGCCUCUUGCCAUCGGAUGUGCCCAGGUGGGAUUAGCUUGUUGGUGGGGUAACGGCUCACCAAGGCGACGAUCCCUAGCUGGUCUGAGAGGAUGACCAGCCACACUGGAACUGAGACACGGUCCAGGCUCCUACGGGAGGCAGCAGUGGGGAAUAUUGCACAAUGGGCGCAAGCCUGAUGCAGCCAUGCCGCGUGUAUGAAGAAGGCGUUCGGGUUGUAAAGUACUUUCAGCGGGGAGGAAGGGAGUAAAGUUAAUACCUUGGCUCAUUGACGUUACCCGCAGAAGAAGCACCGGCUAACUCCGUG
rnacentral:rRNA from 1 species